AUCAACUUUCGAUGGUAGGAUAGAGGCCUACCAUGGUGGUAACGGGUAACGGGGUGUUAGGGCACGACACCGGAGAGGGAGCCUGAGAAACGGCUACCACAUCCAAGGAUGGCAGCAGGCGCGCAAAUUACCCAAUCCCGACACGGGGAGGUAGUGACAAUAAAUAACAAUACGGGGUUCUUUCGGAUCUCGUAAUUGGAAUGAGUACAAUUUAAAUCUCUUAACGAGGAACAAUUGGAGGGCAAGUCUGGUGCCAGCAGCCGCGGUAAUUCCAGCUCCAAUAGCGUAUAUUAAAGUUGUUGCAGUUAAAAAGCUCGUAGUUGAAUUUCGGGGUUAGUAGGUUGGUCAUGCCUCUGGUAUGUACUGGUCUCACUGAUUCCUCCUUCCUGAUGAACCGUAAUGCCAUUAAUUUGGUGUUGCGGGGAAUUUGGACUGUUACUUUGAAAAAAUUAGAGUGUUUAAAGCAAGCUAACGCUUGAAUACAUUAGCAUGGAAUAAUGAAAUAGGACGUUCGAUCCUAUUUUGUUGGUUUCUAGGAUUGACGUAAUGAUUAAUAGGGAUAGUUGGGGGCAUUAGUAUUCAAUUGUCAGAGGUGAAAUUCUUGGAUUUAUUGAAGACUAACUACUGCGAAAGCAUUUGCCAAGGAUGUUUUCAUUAAUCAAGAACGAAAGUUAGGGGAUCGAAGACGAUCAGAUACCGUCGUAGUCUUAGCCAUAAACUAUGCCGACUAGGGAUCGGAUGAUGUUAAUUUUUUAAUGACUCAUUCGGCGCCUUACGGGAAACCAAAGUGUUUGGGUUC
rnacentral:rRNA from 1 species